AGCAUUGGUAUCAACACAGAUUCAUGUCGAAAGAGCCAAUGCUAGGCUGAAAGACUUCAAAAUUUUAGGUGUCAUUCCUUUGUAUUUGCACUGCUAUGCUGACAUUUUGU